rnacentral:lncRNA from 1 species
GUUCUACAUUUUUAUACGACCGCAAAAAUUUUAAUUUUUCGUCGCAUAUUGCUAUCACGUUGGCGUCGUCGUCGUCUUGCGUCGUCGUCGUCCGAAUACUUUUAGUUUUCGCACUCUAACUUUAGUAAAAGUGAAUAGAAAUCAAUGAAAUUUUAACACAAGGUUUAUAACCACAAAAGGAAGGUUGGGAUUGAUUUUGGAAGUUUUGGUCCCAAAAUUUUAGGAAUUAGGGGCCAAAAAGGGCCCAAAUAAGCAUUUUCUUGGUUUUCGCACUAUAACUGUAGUAUAAGUAAAUAGAAAUCUAUGAAAUUUUGACACAAGGUUUAUGACCACAAAAGGAAGGUUGGGAUUGAUUUUGGGAGUUUUAGUUCAAACAGUUUAGGAAUUAAGGGCCAAAAAAGGGACCAAAUAAGCAUUAUUCUUGGUUUUUCGCACAAUAACUUUAGUAUAAGUAAAUAGAAAUCAAUGAAAUUUAAACACAAGGUUUAUGACCACAAAAGGAAGGUUGGGAUUGAUUUUGGGAGUUGAGGUCUGAACAGUUUAGGAAUUAGGGGCCAAAAAGGGGCCCAAGUAAGCAUUAUUCUUGGUUUUCGCACCAUAACUUUAGUAUAAGUAAAUAGAAAUCUUUGAAAUUUAAACACAAGGUUUAUGACCAUAAAAGGAAGGUUGGGUUUGAUUUUGGGAGUUUUGAUCCCAACAGGUUUUUAGGAAUAAGGGGCCCAAAGGGUCCAAAAUUGAACUUUGUUUGAUUUCAUCAAAAAUUAAAUAAUUGGGGUUCUUUGAUAUGACGGA